AAGUCGUAACAAGGUCUCCGUAGGUGAACCUGCGGAGGGAUCAUUACACAAAUAUGAAGGCGGGCUGGAACCUCUCGGGGUUACAGCCUUGCUGAAUUAUUCACCCUUGUCUUUUGCGUACUUCUUGUUUCCUUGGUGGGUUCGCCCACCACUAGGACAAACAUAAACCUUUUGUAAUUGCAAUCAGCGUCAGUAACAAAUUAAUAAUUACAACUUUCAACAACGGAUCUCUUGGUUCUGGCAUCGAUGAAGAACGCAGCGAAAUGCGAUAAGUAGUGUGAAUUGCAGAAUUCAGUGAAUCAUCGAAUCUUUGAACGCACAUUGCGCCCUUUGGUAUUCCAAAGGGCAUGCCUGUUCGAGCGUCAUUUGUACCCUCAAGCUUUGCUUGGUGUUGGGCGUCUUGUCUCUAGCUUUGCUGGAGACUCGCCUUAAAGUAAUUGGCAGCCGGCCUACUGGUUUCGGAGCGCAGCACAAGUCGCACUCUCUAUCAGCAAAGGUCUAGCAUCCAUUAAGCCUUUUUUUCAACUUUUGACCACGGAUCAGGUAGGGAUACCCGCUGAACUA
rnacentral:rRNA from 1 species